GAUGAACGCUGGCGGCGUGCCUAAUACAUGCAAGUCGAGCGAACAGACGAGGAGCUUGCUCCUCUGACGUUAGCGGCGGACGGGUGAGUAACACGUGGAUAACCUACCUAUAAGACUGGGAUAACUUCGGGAAACCGGAGCUAAUACCGGAUAAUAUAUUGAACCGCAUGGUUCAAUAGUGAAAGACGGUUUUGCUGUCACUUAUAGAUGGAUCCGCGCCGCAUUAGCUAGUUGGUAAGGUAACGGCUUACCAAGGCAACGAUGGGUAGCCGACCUGAGAGGGAGAUCGGCCAAACUGGAACUGAGACACGGUCCAGACUCCUACGGGAGGCAGCAGUAGGGAAUCUUCCGCAAUGGGCGAAAGCCUGACGGAGCAACGCCGCGUGAGUGAUGAAGGUCUUCGGAUCGUAAAACUCUGUUAUUAGGGAAGAACAAAUGUGUAAGUAACUAUGCACGUCUUGACGGUACCUAAUCAGAAAGCCACGGCUAACUACGUG
rnacentral:rRNA from 1 species